rnacentral:rRNA from 1 species
UACGGAGGGUGCAAGCGUUAUCCGGAUUCACUGGGUUUAAAGGGUGCGUAGGCGGGUAAGUAAGUCCGUGGUGAAAUCUCUGGGCUUAACCCAGAAACUGCCGUUGAUACUAUUUGUCUUGAAUAUCCUGGAGGUAGGCGGAAUAUGUCAUGUAGCGGUGAAAUGCUUAGAUAUGACAUAGAACACCGAUAGCGAAGGCAGCUUACUACACAGUUAUUGACGCUGAGGCACGAAAGCGUGGGGAUCAAACAGG